rnacentral:misc_RNA from 1 species
GGGUUGAUGCUUGCACCCGAGUCUAAGAGACCAUAGGAAAGAUAGAUCAUGAAAAUAAUCAUAAGAAGACAUCAGCAAUAUUCGAGAAAACAAUAUGUAUGGUAGAAAACACUUUUCAUUGUACUAAAAUUACCUCAAAAAAGAAAGAUUUUUUUCCAUCAGGAGAAGGGCAAAGCAAAUUAAAAAAAAAUAUAUAUAGCACAUUGUGAAGAAACUUUCAACCAAUAUCUCUAUAUUUUCUCUGUGAAAAAUAUUUAACCCAUAGUUGUCAAAGGUUUAAGAUGCACAAGGUAGGCCUAUAUGCAAGGCAUACAUUCAUUAAAACAUGUAUAAAAAAGUUGUAUUAUAAUAAUACAAAAAAAAAAAUAGAAAUGCAUAAGAUCAAAAGAAUGCUACAAAGAAGAUAAAUAGUUCAACAUAGAUCAUAUGCUCGCUAGAGUGCAAGGAAAUUACAAAUAUACAAGCUUUGCCAAAGCUAGAUUAAUUUGACAAGAGCCAUGAGCAUGCAAGAGUACAAAAGGUCACCAAUCACCACUAAGUAGAGUUGAAAAAAAACAGAAUUCAAUGCUUGUUCUUCAUUCAUUUCCUCUAAAUCAGUCCAUUCCUCAUUUACUAUUUACAAAAUAAAAGGAAGAAGGGAAAACUUCAAUUUGUAAUUAGAACACCCAAUCACAUGGUGAUAUCAAUCUCAUUGAGUUAAACCUCACUAUUGUACCAUCUUAUCAACACAACAUCAUCACUUUAGGCAUAAAGUAAAAGCAUCCAACAGUGCAACAGUGCAAGUAAAACCAACUAAUAAAGAGGGAAAAAAACCUUAGGCAUCUAAGAUGCAUGCCAUGGUGUCCACUUAAAGGCAGGUGCCUAUAUGCCUAGGCAUGCAUCACAUGGAUGAAGCCUGGCCUGAGACCAUUAGAGCCAAGGCCCACUUUUAACAUCUAUGAUUUAAUGAAUUAAAGGACAAAAACAAAUAACUAAAAGAUCACAAGAAAGAACAGAUUUCUAGCAUCAUAUUUUCCCAUAACUAUAUUGCAGUUUGAAAAGGGGCUGAAACAGUAUUAUGCUCUACUACACUAUAAUAAAGAGAUUCAGGUAACUAUAAUAGAAAUCUGAU